rnacentral:snRNA from 1 species
CGUCGGCUGUCAGCGGACUG